UACGUAGGUGGCAAGCGUUGUCCGGAUUUACUGUGCGUAAAUUUAGCGUAGGCGUAUACUUAAGUGGGAUGUGAAAUACCUGGGCUUAACUUGGGUGCUGCAUUCCAAACUGGGUGUCUAGAGUGUUGGAGAGGAAAGUGGAAUUCCUAGUGUAGCGGUGAAAUGCGUAGAGAUUAGGAAGAACACCAGUGGCGAAGGCGACUUUCUGGACAAUAACUGACGCUGAGGCUCGAAAGCGUGGGGAGCAAACAGGAUUAGAUACCCUGGUAGUCCACGCCGUAAACGAUGGGUACUAGGUGUAGGAGGUAUCGACUCCUCCUGUGCCGCCGUUAACACAAUAAGUACCCCGCCUGGGGAGUACGGUCGCAAGAUUAAA
rnacentral:rRNA from 1 species